GACGAACGCUGGCGGCGUGCUUAACACAUGCAAGUCGAACGGAAAGGCCCUGCUUUUGUGGGGUGCUCGAGUGGCGAACGGGUGAGUAACACGUGAGUAACCUGCCCUUGACUUUGGGAUAACUUCAGGAAACUGGGGCUAAUACCGGAUAGGAGCUCCUGCUGCAUGGUGGGGGUUGGAAAGUUUCGGCGGUUGGGGAUGGACUCGCGGCUUAUCAGCUUGUUGGUGGGGUAGUGGCUUACCAAGGCUUUGACGGGUAGCCGGCCUGAGAGGGUGACCGGCCACAUGGGGACUGAGAUACGGCCCAGACUCCUACGGGAGGCAGCAGUGGGAAAUAUUGCACAAUGGGCGGAAGCCGGAGGCAGCAACGCCGCGUGCGGAAUGACGGCCUUCGGGUUGUAAACCGCUUUAGCCUGUAACGAAGCGUGAGUGACGGUAAUGGGUAAAGAAGCACCGGCUACUACGUG
rnacentral:rRNA from 1 species